CCCCGGGGCAGACCCAGGACACGCUGGAGAGAUUAUAUCUCUCGGCUGGCCUGGGAAAGCCUUAGAGUCCCUUCAGAUGAGCAGCCACUAGUCCUCGCUGGGCUGUUGACUGUUUGACAAUUUCCUGGAGCUGAGAGAGGAGAGGUUAGCCACGAGAACCCCCCCAGGAGGACACUGCAUUAUUCAUGAUUCAGAACUUUGUAAAUAAACCUGACUAAACUUUUAUUCCGGAGUCCUGCCUCUGAGCCCCCGUGCCGUUGGCCAUGUCACUACAUAUAUUUGAUUUUUUUUUUUUGAUAAAUCAUUAAAUAAUUUGAAAACUGUGAAAUCUGCACAGAAGCACAGAUUGUGCAGAGCUGGUUUCAGAGUUCGAACAGUGCAGCACAGACAGCUUUGUUAGCUUAGCAACGAUCCCACCGAUAAUAAGUGUAGAAGCACUCAGGGACAUGCUGGAUAUGUGUACAAACACCAAUGAAUUAGGAAAUGUUUCAUGGCAUGUUGUACAGCUUGUGAAAACGAGGCUUCGUGGCCUCUGUGACCCAUAAAUGGAUGUACUUGCAGUACCUGAUUGACAGCAGGGGGAACCCUGCACAGAGCAAGAAGCCUCUCCAGCUGCAGGAUGCUGAAGUUGGACACACCGAUGCUCCUCACCUUCCCUGAGGCUUGCAGGGCUUCCAUCCCCUGCAACAAAACAGAGACGGUACGCAUGCAUCUGCCAUCCUUUCUGGAAGCUUCAUGUGGGCGAUGUCGUCAGAAGCAACACUUCAUACAGACUGCAUCAUCUUACCCUCCACACAUCUACGUAGUCUACAUCAGAGGUCUGAAUCUUUCCAUCCUUCUUUGGGAAAAGCUCAUCACCCAUUUUCUGCAGGGAAAUUCAGAUGUGGUCAGACAAAGAGCACGCCCCCCCCCACAAUGAUCACAUUAAUACUUUUAAGGAUACGCAGUCAUGUAAAACUCAUGUGCAUCCUCUUUAAAUUCUAAGACUUUAAAUAUCAGGACCUUUCUCCAGACCUCAAACAGGAACUUGUGCAAUGAUGGCAGAAUGAGUGACAGUAAAUCUUGUGCUCAACCUUUAAGCCAACAGGGAAAUGCACAAGGUAAAGAUCCAGGUAGUCCAGCUGGAGAUCACGUAGGGACUUAUUGAGGCACACAGGGAUGUCUUCUGGGGCAUGAUGGGUACACCACAGCUAUGAAGGAAAGUUUCCGGACAGCAAGAGUUAACAGUACAGUAUAUGUCAGCAUAUCAGUACUCAUAGAUAUGAGUACUUAAAUAAGCUGUCCCAGCUCUCACACCAGCUUUCCCACCUUGCUGACUAUGAACACGUCCUCACGCCGGAUGAUGCCCUGCUGCAUCUUGGAGCGGAGAGCCUUCCCGAUGUCCACCUCGUUUUGAUAGCUGUAGGCGGUGUCUAUGUGGCGGCAGCCAGCCGCAAUGGCGGUCUCCACGGCGCCCUGGAUCGAUGUCUGUGACAGAUGAGAGGACUGCGACAACAGGACAGGAGAGUUAAUGUCUGCUGAUCUUCACUCAGAAUGGAAGCUCGUGGUUCUCGGGCACUUUUACCUCAAUAUUAAAGUAAUAUGGCAGAUAUGCAUGAAGUCAAACAGCAUCAUCAGUGACAGUCACACAUCUGCAGAACCUACUCCUGGAGUUCUGUUUUUGGUUGGUUUUUAGAACGUACCCAUGAACUGAUUUUGGUUUUGAUAGCUCAUUAUGAUCUUCUUGCCCUGGUCCCCUGACAGACGCCUUGUCUUCAUGCUAAAUGUCAGCGUUCAGUCAGCUGUGAGCCAUGUGUGGGCUCAUAACGACUGAAGGCUGAAAUCUUUCAGGGAUCGAGCUGAAAUACUGCUGACUUCGACUUUCCUGCUUCACAAACUGAAAUGUUAUUGGAUUCUUCUGAUACAUGAUGAAUGUGUGCACGUGGUCCUCACCAACAUCCCACCCCAACACCCCAACAAACCAUCUACCUUCAAAAUGCAC